UUUUGAACUUUAAAAAAUAUUUUAUUUAUUUGAGAGAGAGAAAGCACAAAUAGGGGGAGGAGGUGCAGAGGGAGGGAGAAGUAGACUCCCUACUGAGGAGACCAAUACGGACUCGAUCCCAGAAUCCUGGUAUCACAACCUGAGCCUGAGGCAGACACUUAACUGAUGGAGCCACCCAGGUGCCCCUCUGUUCUUGUACUUUUUAAAAAGGUCCAAGGCAUCUCAAAGUAAUACUGACACACAGUAAGUACACUGUCAUAUGUGACUCGAGGUUUUGACCCUUCAUUUGUCCAAGGAAACCAAAUGGGUCUAAAGAGAUAGAGACAGGAAGCAAACUUUCACUGCACACCUGCUGUGUACCAGGUGAGAGCCCAGACAUGUGGAGAACAAAAGUCUUGCCCUCAAUUUGUUCGUGGUUUAACCCAGUCAAUGGAAUCUUGUAACCUCAUCUUCUCACCAUACAGAAUCAGAGGAUGCCCAAAGAUCCCCAGAGUUCUUUGUCAGCCUGUCAAGAUUAUGACUCUGCAGAUCAGGGAAGUCCCUCAGGGACUUUUUAGUGACUUUUUAGUUUGCAAGUAGAAGCAAAAGUCUCAAAAAAAAAAAGUCUCCUGCAGUGCCCAUUUCCCAUUUAAAUGGGUAGUAAGCCACAAGGAUAAAUGGGCAGACUCCGCCCUUCCACAAUAGCCCAGUGCCCUCAACUCUGUGACUCAAGCAGGCAUAUCCAUAUUCAAGCAGACCAGAGAUCAAAGCCAUAUUAGGCAUGAGCUACUUUUUAUUCAUAGACUUACAAGAUAUAUCGAAUUAAGAGGCAUGUUGUUUGUUAACUGUAUUUACCAAAAAGAGCUAAAUAUAUAUUCAGCCUUAAAAUGCAUCCAUUGUAGCUUGCAUACUGCAAAAUUUACUUUCAUAUACAUAUAAACUAUUCUUAUUUUACCUAAGUUAUGCAUCUAAGAUACAUAAAAAUGGUACCAAAUGGCAUAUUGGCUUAUUUUAUCACAGUUCUUAUACAUUCCUGAUAGUCAAAGGGAUGGAUAGGGAAUGCAUAGUUUCCUACCAGAAAAAAAAGUAGAUUCUGAUACAAUGAAAUAACCUAAGGAUAAGAGUACCUGGCUAGGUUUAGAUCUCAGUAGCUUUACAACACAAUUACGUCAAUUAGCAUUACAAUUGGCUCUCUUUGUUAAUAAUUGUUAAUUUGCCUAGUCGUCCAUCCUUUACUUGCCUGGCUGAGGCAAAGGAAACCACGAUGACCUUUCUUCUAGUUUAUUUCUACUUUCCCCAAAGAGUUUCCUCCACAGCCAUCUGCCCUGCUUUUCUGUCCAUUCCCUUUACACUGUCCUACGUCUGGCCCACCUUCCUCACUGUGUCAACAACUAGAUUAUUGCAUUCCACUCCAGAGCUCUGCUCAAUACAAUCUUUGGCCACUGCCUAAUUAAAGAACUCUCUUCCAAAACUGCAAGCGGAGGGGCUGAUACCUCUGCAGAAGAAUCCGGAAGCCUGGGCUAAGGAGAUUUUCUUUAGGUGGCAUGCAAAUAGACUCCCCUCCUGCAGACCUUCAUCUCUCUUUCAUUAAACCCACGGUCAGAGAAAUUUCCAUCGUGAGUGUUCCUGGCAGCCAAACCUCCUGCAUCCCACGCUGAUUUCUUUCCUAAAAAUACACAGCCUCUCACUCCAUGGGGAAGAAAAAUGCAACACUGGCAUUUCCAGCGUGCUCCCCAAAGGCUGAUUAUGACCUGGAGCAAUUCAUCAUCGCUCGUGCAUUCGAGUUUUUAGUUGCUCCUCCCCCAUAGAACUCUUCUUGUUUAUCUUGUGGACGUUGUGACAAGAACCAGAUGUGUCUGGACCCCAAUAUCCGCACCCCAUCGCUGUUGGGGGGGGCGGCUGCGGAGAAGCAAACCGUGCCAGCUAGAAACACUCUUUGGAACGGAAAAUUAUCUGAAACUUCUGGAAGACUUUCAAGAGUGUGGCCUUGUGUGUAAUAGUAGUCCCAUAGUGUUUAAUUGCUAAAGGGACCAGUAGAUGAGAUGGUGUCUAUUCAGCACUAUUUUCCUUCUGGCUACGCAUAUUUUGUUGUAUAUUUUUACUUUAUCUCAAGGUGCUGCUAUAUUCUGAAUCAUGAUAAAAAGUCUUUAUUUGGAAGGCAUGUCAGAGUGUCACAAAGAAAAUACGAAGCCUGCUUGUGUGGGGGGGUGGGUGGUGGUGGUGGUGGAAGGGGACAAGGUCUGCCUUUGCCACUCACUACUGGAUAAUCUUGAGCAGGCGACUGAGUUAGAUUUUAGCAGCAGUUUCAUUCUCUCUGAAAUCAGAAUGCCUGCCUGCCAAUAAACUAAAGAACUGUUUAUGAACAAAUGAGAUGGACACAAAUGCACACUGAGAAAACAUAAGGCUUUGCUGAAAUGCAGGGUGGUCUUAUUACCCGUUGCCCGAGAACACCGUGCCAUUCACACCUAAGGCUUGCUUUUAGUCUCGGUGAAGAUCGGUUCCUGAUCCCACACUUUAAGGCUGUGUGGCGUGGCCACUUGGCGACACAGAGGGACCCAUCCUAGCCACAGAGAUUGUGAAGAAACAGCAGGCUGACAAGAAGGAAACCAAUGGGUGAUGGGAAGGAAUGGACGAGAGCAGCCCUUCCGGGGACUAUCUCCACAGGGGAUGGUCUCACGUGUCCCUUUGCUUUGGCUUUCUGAUGUUGUUGGGGUUUUACUUUGUCUUACAUUAUUACUGGAAGAAAAAAAAAACUUCUGGCAGAAAUUGUUUAAAACUUGAGGGAUUCUUGGGAUGGAGCAGUGAGAUUAAUGAAGCAAAGCUUCCACCACCUUGCGCCAAGAACAUCUACACCCUUUUAGCAAGUCGGCCAGAACAAAUAUCUCCUCCCUCAGCGCGGAGAGGCUGGUAGGCUGCAGACUGAUUUGGUCUAGUUUCUUAAAAAGAAAAAGAGAACCUGACUGCAGCUGCAGGGACUACCCACCCUCUUGCCCUCACCUCACCCUCAAUUCCUUAGAUGUGCCUUCCACCUGCCAAUGUCUCACCUGGACUCAGCAAGCACCCCUACCCACCCCGCCCGGCACCCCAUGUUCCCUGGUUUUCCAGAUUCUAGGCAAUGGUUACCAGCAUGGUGAAUGCAGAUGGUUUCUCCAGGAACUUCACCCUCAGAGGUGAGGCCGGGGAGCUGGUGCCCUGUUCCGUAGAGGCAGCCCUGUGAAAAGAUGCCCCCGUUGCCUUCUCCACAGGAGGCUGGAAUCGGGAACAUCAUUUCGACCUGGCACAAGUGCUAGCACUGUCUAAAUGUCCCCUACAUUGUUUGCCAAGGGCCUGUUUUUCCGCCCAGGCUUGUCUGAGGGGUUCCAUGUGCCAGAAAGAAUUGUUGCCCAUCUUAACAGCCAGAGGAAUAGCAGGGCUGUCCCACUUUCAGCCUCCGAUGUGGGGAUACUGGGCAUUUGUAGUCAAUUCAAAUCAACCAGGAAGGCAAAAGAAUGCAGAAGAGUGAUUUUUGGGCUUAAGAAAAUGAAAACAAACCACUUUUCUCCUGUGUGGUUGGUGCUCAGUAGGAAAGUGUCAAGCAGCGUUGCUACUAUGUGUGGGCCACUUAUAGUUCAUUAAAAUCCCCGGUGUCCUCGGCUGGAAGCCCUCAGCCUGCGGCCCAGAUCGUACCCAGGAGUGCUCUGGCAACCUCGAUGCUAUUUAUGGCCUUGAUAGGCACUGCGGAAACCAGAAACAACACCACGCUCAUAUUUGUGGCAAAACAUCUCCCUGCUCAUGACUUGGCAAACGAUUGCUAAAGAAUAACACUGCACUGCAACACGAUCGUGCUGCUUUGGGGGCUCCGAGAGACGUUGUCGGGUGGCUCUCCUAAAACCCACUUCAUGUUCUCUGAAGAGAACCAACUAGUCAGGCACAGCAUCCACUGGGGAGCUUCCACCACAAAACCAGAGCCCCCGGGGCUUCCCGACAAUCCACACCACAGAAGCCCAUUUUGAAAUAGGCCCUCAGGCCCCCUGAGCGCAGACCUGGUCUGUGGGAUCCAGCGUCCCUAGCUCCAAAGCUGGGCUCUGAUGAUCCCCCGCCCCCCGCUAGCCUAUUCAGGAUGAGCCCCACGUCAGCGUGUGAGCCCCUGGGGGCUUUCCUUGGGGAAACUACCGGGAAAGACAGGGGCGCUGGUGUCAUGACCACCUCAGGUUCUGCAAUUUGGUGCCAGAGCCCCUCCAGAAGGGC
rnacentral:lncRNA from 1 species